rnacentral:rRNA from 1 species
UAGGGAAUCUUCCACAAUGGACGCAAGUCUGAUGGAGCAACGCCGCGUGAGUGAAGAAGGUUUUCGGAUCGUAAAGCUCUGUUGUUGGUGAAGAAGGAUAGAGGUAGUAACUGGCCUUUAUUUGACGGUAAUCAACCAGAAAGUCACGGCUAACUACGUGCCAGCAGCCUCGGUAAUACGUAGGUGGCAAGCGUUGUCCGGAUUUAUUGGGCGUAAAGCGAGCGCAGGCGGAAGAAUAAGUCUGAUGUGAAAGCCCUCGGCUUAACCGAGGAACUGCAUCGGAAACUGUUUUUCUUGAGUGCAGAAGAGGAGAGUGGAAUUCAAUGUGUAGCGGUGGAAUGCGUAGAUAUAUGGAAGAACACCAGUGGCGAAGGCGACUCUCUGGUCUGCAACUGACGCUGAGGCUCGAAAGCAUGGGUAGCGAACAGG